rnacentral:rRNA from 1 species
ACGGGUGAGUAACGCGUGGGAAUCCACCUUUUGCUACGGAAUAGCUCCGGGAAACUGGAAUUAAUACCGUAUGUGCCCUUUGACGGUGGACGUUGGAGGGGAAAGAUUUAUCGGCAAAGGAUGAGCCCGCGUUGGAUUAGCUAGUUGGUGGGGUAAAGGCCUACCAAGGCGACGAUCCAUAGCUGGUCUGAGAGGAUGAUCAGCCACAUUGGGGCUGAGACACGGCCCAAACUCCUACGGGAGGCAGCAGUGGGGAAUAUUGGACAAUGGGCGCAAGCCUGAUCCAGCCAUGCCGCGUGUGUGAUGAAGGCCUUAGGGUUGUAAAGCACUUUCACCGGUGAAGAUAAUGACGGUAACCGGAGAAGAAGCCCCGGCUAACUUCGUGCCAGCAGCCGCGGUAAUACGAAGGGGGCUAGCGUUGUUCGGAAUUACUGGGCGUAAAGCGCACGUAGGCGGAUAUUUAAGUCAGGGGUGAAAUCCCAGAGCUCAACUCUGGAACUGCCUUUGAUACUGGGUAUCUUGAGUAUGGAAGAGGUGAGUGGAAUUCCGAGUGUAGAGGUGAAAUUCGUAGA